rnacentral:rRNA from 1 species
UACGUAGGGCGCAAGCGUUGUCCGGAAUUAUUGGGCGUAAAGAGCUCGUAGGCGGCCUGUUACGUCUGCUGUGAAAUCCCGGGGCUUAACCCCGGGCGUGCAGUGGAUACGGGCAGGCUGGAGGCAGGCAGGGGAGAACGGAAUUCCCGGUGUAGCGGUGAAAUGCGCAGAUAUCGGGAGGAACACCUAUUGCGAAGGCAGCUCGCUGGGACGUUACUGACGCUGAGACGCGAAAGCGUGGGGAGCAAACAGG